CCUACGGGUAGCAGCAGUGAGGAAUAUUGGUCAAUGGACGCAAGUCUGAACCAGCCAUGCCGCGUGCAGGAAGACGGCUCUAUGAGUUGUAAACUGCUUUUGUACGCGGGUAAACGCAGAUACGCGUAUCUGUCUGAAAGUAUCGUACGAAUAAGGAUCGGCUAACUCCGUGCCAGCAGCCGCGGUAAUACGGAGGAUUCAAGCGUUAUCCGGAUUUAUUGGGUUUAAAGGGUGCGUAGGGGGUCGGAUAAGUUAGAGGUGAAAUUCCGAGGCUGAACGUCGGAAUUGCCUUUGAUACUGUUCGGCGAGAGAGUAGUUGCGGUAGGCGGAAUGUGUGGUGUAGCGGUGAAAUGCUUAGAGAUCAUACAGAACACCGAUUGCGAAGGCAGCUUACCAAGCUACUUCUGACGUUGAGGCACGAAAGCGUGGGGAGCAAACAGGAUUAGAUACCCCAGUAGUC
rnacentral:rRNA from 1 species